GACGUAGGGGGCGAGCGUUGUCCGGAAUUAUUGGGCGUAAAGAGCGCGCAGGCGGCCACGUAAGUCGGGUGUGAAAUCCCGGGGCUCAACCCCGGGACUGCAUCCGAUACUGCGUGGCUAGAGGUAGGUAGGGGAGAUCGGAAUUCCUGGUGUAGCGGUGAAAUGCGCAGAUAUCAGGAGGAACACCGGUGGCGAAGGCGGAUCUCUGGGCCUUACCUGACGCUCAGGCGCGAAAGCUAGGGGAGCGAACAGGAUUAGAUACCCUGGUAGUCCUAGCCGUAAACGUUGGGUGCUAGGUGUGGGCGGAUAUUGACCCCGUCCGUGCCGAAGCUAACGCAUUAAGCACCCCGCCUGGGGAGUACGGCCGCAAGGCUAAA
rnacentral:rRNA from 1 species